UACAGAGGUCUCAAGCGUUGUUCGGAUUCAUUGGGCGUAAAGGGUGCGUAGGCGGCGCGGAAAGUCGGGUGUGAAAUUUCGGAGCUUAACUCCGAAACUGCAUUCGAUACUCCCGUGCUUGAGGACUGGAGAGGAGACUGGAAUUUACGGUGUAGCAGUGAAAUGCGUAGAGAUCGUAAGGAAGACCAGUGGCGAAGGCGGGUCUCUGGACAGUUCCUGACACUGAGACACGAAGGCCAGGGGAGCAAACGGG
rnacentral:rRNA from 1 species